rnacentral:rRNA from 1 species
GAUGAACGCUGGCGGCGUGCCUAAUACAUGCAAGUAGAACGCUGAAGGAGGAGCUUGCUCUUCUGGAUGAGUUGCGAACGGGUGAGUAACGCGUAGGUAACCUGCCUGUGAGCGGGGGAUAACUAUUGGAAACGAUAGCUAAUACCGCAUAACAGCAGUUAUUGCAUGAUGACUGUUGGAAAGUUGCAACUGCUCCACUACCAGAUGGACCUGCGUUGUAUUAGCUAGUUGGUGAGGUAACGGCUCACCAAGGCGACGAUACAUAGCAGACCUGAGAGGGGGAUCAGCCACACUGGGACUGAGACACGGCCCAGACUCCUACGGGAGGCAGCCGUAGGGAUUCGUCGGCAAUGGACGGAAGUCUGACCGAGAAACGCCGAGUGAGUGAAGAAGGUUUUCGGAUCGGAAAGCUCGGUUGUAAGAGAAGAAAGAGUGUGCGAGUGGAACGUUCACACUGUGACGGUAUCUGACCAGAAAGGGACGGCUAACUACGUG